AUUGAACGCUGGUGGCAGGCCUAACACAUGCAAGUCGGACGGUAGCACAGAGGAGCUUGCUCCUCGGGUGACGAGUGGCGGACGGGUGAGUAAUGUCUGGGGAUCUGCCCGAUAGAGGGGGAUAACCACUGGAAACGGUGGCUAAUACCGCAUAACGUCGCAAGACCAAAGAGGGGGACCUUCGGGCCUCUCACUAUCGGAUGAACCCAGAUGGGAUUAGCUAGUAGGCGGGGUAAUGGCCCACCUAGGCGACGAUCCCUAGCUGGUCUGAGAGGAUGACCAGCCACACUGGAACUGAGACACGGUCCAGACUCCUACGGGAGGCAGCAGUGGGGAAUAUUGCACAAUGGGCGCAAGCCUGAUGCAGCCAUGCCGCGUGUAUGAAGAAGGCCUUCGGGUUGUAAAGUACUUUCAGCGGGGAGGAAGGCGGUGCGGUUAAUAACCGCGCCGAUUGACGUUACCCGCAGAAGAAGCACCGGCUAACUCCGUGCCAGCAGCCGCCGUAA
rnacentral:rRNA from 1 species